rnacentral:rRNA from 1 species
CAAGAUACAGGCUAGCGGCGGACGGGUGAGUAACACGUGGGGUAACCUGCCCAAAGAGAUCGGGAUAACACCUGGAAACAGAUGCUAAUACCGGAUAACACAGAUGAUGCCUAUCAACUGUUUAAAAAAGAUGGUUCUGCUAUCACUCUUGGAUGGACCUGCGGUGCAUUAGCUAGUUGGUAGGGUAACGGCCUACCAAGGCGAUGAUGCAUAGCCGAGUUGAGAGACUGAUCGGCCACAUUGGGACUGAGACACGGCCCAAACUCCUACGGGAGGCAGCAGUAGGGAAUCUUCCACAAUGGACGCAAGUCUGAUGGAGCAACGCCGCGUGAGUGAAGAAGGGUUUCGGCUUGUAAAGCUCUGUUGUUGGUGAAGAAGGACAGGGGUAGUAACUGACCUUUGUUUGACGGUAAUCAAUUAGAAAGUCACGGGCUAACUACGUGCCAGCAGCCGCGGUAAAU